GGUGAGGGGCGAAAGCCGGGGNGAGCGAACCGGAUUAGAUACCCGGGUAGUCCCGGCUGUAAACGAUGCGGGCUAGGUGUUGGGUGGGCUUUGAGCCCACCCAGUGCCGCAGGGAAGCCGUUAAGCCCGCCGCCUGGGGAGUACGGCCGCAAGGCUGAAACUUAAAGGAAUUGGCGGGGGAGCACCACAAGGGGUGGAGCCUGCGGUUUAAUUGGAGUCAACGCCGGGAAUCUUACCGAGGGCGACAGCAGGAUGAAGGCCAGGCUAACGACCUUGCCAGACACGCUGAGAGGAGGUGCAUGGCCGUCGCCAGCUCGUGCCGUGAGGCGUCCGGUUAAGUCCGGCAACGAGCGAGAUCCCCACCCCCAGUUGCGAUCCCGAUCCCUGGAUCGGGAGCACACUGGGGGGACUGCCGCCGAUAAGGCGGAGGAAGGAGGGGGCCACGGCAGGUCAGCAUGCCCCGAAUCCCUCGGGCUACACGCGGGCUACAAUGGUGGGGACAGCGGGUGCCGACCCCGAAAGGGGAAGGCAAUCCCUGAAACCCCGCCGUGGUUGGGAUCGAGGGCUGUAACUCGCCCUCGUGAACGUGGAAUCCCUAGUAACCG
rnacentral:rRNA from 1 species